UUUUUCUACACAAACGUUUCCCUAAUCAUACGGGUUUCAAGAGUAAUUCUGAAUCGGCUGUACUUGACUGACGCAGGAGAGACGGGCGUACCAACACAAUACGUUUUACAUUGAUACCUUACCGCGUGCGUGCGUGUCGCGUCCUUUCACGUUUUCGCGCUCGACGUCCAACGAACGUUUCGUCGACGUUAGUCCGUUAUUGUAAAAGGAGAGGUCGGGG